ACGAACGCUGGCGGCGUGCUUAACACAUGCAAGUCGAACGGAAAGGCCCUGCUUUUGUGGGGUGCUCGAGUGGCGAACGGGUGAGUAACACGUGAGUAACCUGCCCUUGACUUUGGGAUAACUUCAGGAAACUGGGGCUAAUACCGGAUAGGAGCUCCUGCUGCAUGGUGGGGGUUGGAAAGUUUCGGCGGUUGGGGAUGGACUCGCGGCUUAUCAGCUUGUUGGUGGGGUAGUGGCUUACCAAGGCUUUGACGGGUAGCCGGCCUGAGAGGGUGACCGGCCACAUUGGGACUGAGAUACGGCCCAGACUCCUACGGGAGGCAGCGGUGGGGAAUAUUGCACAAGGGGCGGAAGCCUGAUGCAGCAACGCCGCGUGCGGGAUGACGGCCUUCGGGUUGUAAACCGCUUUCGCCUGUGACGAAGCGUGAGUGACGGUAAUGGGUAAAGAAGCACCGGCUAACUACGUGC
rnacentral:rRNA from 1 species